AACACCUUACCCAAUCGGACCACACCCAACCCUAGUUAUAAGCCUUGAAGGCAUCGUGCCAAGAGAAGCAUUUGUGCUAGGCCGCAAUGUCUUCCCAAUCCUCUUCACUUACCACUUUCCCUCUCCCGAAAUCCCUUAUUCUUCUCUUCUCAGCCAAAAUCUCUCUCCCCCAUUCAAUUUGGCAUUUCCUUUUAGACUCAACCCCACCUCCUCCCAUCUUUGCACUUGAGACUGCGUUUCUCAAUUACAAAUCCAAGAUCAGCUCCACUUCUUCUGGUACUUCAAUAUGAACUAUGAUCAAAACAUUGUCUUGAGAUGCUUUUGGAUUUGAAUAUAUUAUGCAAGUAAUGAAUUGGGAGGUGUAAUCUGAUGGUGAUCAUGGUGUCACAUGUAGGUCACGUGAACAAACAAGCACAGGAGCAUGGGGUUUGGCGGUUUUGGGUGGCUGGGGUGGUGGUUGGGUUACAGGGAGGUGGUGGCUGGUGGGGCUUGGGUGGGGC
rnacentral:lncRNA from 1 species